GAUGAAGAACGUAGCGAAAUGCGAUAAGUAAUGUGAAUUGCAGAAUUCAGUGAAUCAUCGAAUCUUUGAACGCACCUUGCGCUCCUUGGUAUUCCGAGGAGCAUGCCUGUUUGAGUGUCAUGAAAUUCUCAACCUUUCUGGCUUUUGCUAGUCAGGCUUGGAUUAUGGGAGCUGCUGGCUUUUGAAGUCGGCUCUUCUAAAAUGUAUUAGCAAGAUCGUUGCUGCUCAUCAUUGGUAUGAUAAUUAUCUAUAUCAUUGAGAGUCAGUUUCCUUUAUUGGAAGAUUUUGCUCCUAACGGUCUUUAGCAAGACAACAUUUGACGAUUUUGACCUCAAAUCAGGUAGGACUACCCGCUGAACUUAAGCAUAUCAAUAAGCGGAGGA
rnacentral:misc_RNA from 1 species